AUGGCGCUCUUCGUCCAGUGCCUGGAGCCGCUGGGCUUUCUGCAGUCGCUGCGCUCGCUCGCCCUUGGCGCGGUGGCCCAGCUGCGCGGCACGGCCAGCGGCGAGGAACUGGCCUUCGUCCGCCGAGAGGUGGCGGCGCUGGAGCGGGACCUGGCGGCCGGCCCGGGGCUGCUGGAGGACGCCGAGCUGAGUGCCUGCGAGGACGCCGUGGCCGGCGCCUUCGCGCAGCUCUGCCUGGCCCUGCGCGCCCCCGCCGCGCAGGCUCCGCGCGAGGCGGAGCUGCUGCUGCAGCGCUGCGCGCAGGAGCAGCUCGAGCGGCGCCUGCUGGUCCUCUGGCGCCGCGUNCAAGGCGCUGCCGUCCUGGCGCUGCGCCCGCCUGUGCUCGAGCAGGCGGCCGAGCAGCUGCGGCCGCGGCGGCCGCAGAUGGCGCGCCUCUGNCGGCAGCUGAACGCCGUGCUGGGCGCGGGGCUGCUGAGCCUGCUGGCCGCCGCCGGGCUGAGCGGGCGCGAUCCGGCGUUGCUGCUGGGCGUCUGGGGCGAGCGCGUGGGCGCCGUGCACGCGCGCAUGCACGAAGCGCUGGCCCGCUGCGCCGGCUUCUUCCGUGAGCAGGCGGGCGACGACGUGCAGCGCGUGCUGGACGCCGAGGCCCCGUCCGCGCCGGCGCCCGCCGACCUGGCCGCCCGCGUGCUGCGGCAGCUGGAGCAGAACUACGACUGGCUGCGCUGGGCCGUGGUGGUGUGGCGGCCCGAGGGGCGCGGCGCGGCGCGGGAACGGGAGCAGCAGCCGCCUGAGCAGGAGGGCGGCGACGGCGAGGCCCUGCCGCUGGCGCGGGGCAGCUUCGUGGCCGGCCGCGCCCCGGACGGCCUCCGCCUGGUGGCCUGCUACGCGGAGAACCCCGCGGCGCUCGACAAAGCGCGCACUGGGCAACUCAUCGGCGAGGUGGAGUGGAAGCUGCCCAACCCGCCGCCCGAGGUCUACGCCAGCCUGGAGGCCGAGCCGAGCCGCGCCGGGGGCUACCUGGCCCGCCGCAUGCUGCAGAAGCUGUCCGACGGCCUGGGCCCCGACGUCACGCUGCUGGUGGUGCCCGGGAAGGUGCAGGUGAAGAGCGGCUUCCCUCCCGCGGCCAGCCUGCUGCACGAGUACCGCCACCGCCUGGCCUCGGGCACCGUCUGCGUGUUCGGCUGCACCGACAAAACCCCUCCGCGGUAA
rnacentral:lncRNA from 1 species